AGUGAACGCUGGCGGUAGGCCUAACACAUGCAAGUCGAACGGCAGCACAGUAAGAGCUUGCUCUUACGGGUGGCGAGUGGCGGACGGGUGAGGAAUACAUCGGAAUCUACUUUUUCGUGGGGGAUAACGUAGGGAAACUUACGCUAAUACCGCAGACCACCUACGGGUGAAAGCAGUGGAUCUUCUGACCGUGCGCGAUUGGAUGAGCCGAUGUCGGAUUAGCUAGUUGGCGGGGUAAAUGCCCACCAAGGCGACGAUCGGUAGCUGGUGUGAGAGGAUGAUCAGCCACACUGGAAGUGAGACACGGUCCAGACUCCUAAGGGAGGCCGCAGUGGGGAAUAUUGGACAAUGGGCGCAAGCCUGAUCCAGCCAUACCGCGUGGGUGAAGAAGGCCUUCGGGUUGUAAAGCCCUUUUGUUGGGAAAGAAAAGCAGCAGGUUAAUACCCAGCUGUUCUGACGGUACCCAAAGAAUAAGCACCGGCUAACUUCGUG
rnacentral:rRNA from 1 species